GGCUCACUGCAAGCUCCGCCUCCCAGGUUCACGCCAUUCUCCUCCCUCGGCCUCCCGAGUAGCGCCUGCCACCACGCCCGGCUAAUUUUUUUUUUUUUUUUUUUUUUUUUUUUGGUAUUUUUAGUAGAGAUGGAGUUUCACCUUGUUAGCCAGGAUGGUCUCGAUCUCCUGACCUCAUGAUCCACCCACCUCCGCCUCCCAAAGUGCUGGGAUUACAGGCGUGAGCCACCGUGCCCGGCUGCCACCUAUUUUUAUGCUACAUACGGCCGUGCUCCUAUCUGUCGUGGUGCUGAUUUUAAGUUGAAGAUAGGUGCUAUGCUUGACUCCCGUAUAUCCUCAGCAUCUAACAGUUCCUUAUACUUAGAAAUCACUCAGCAGGCCAUGUGGAUGUAUAUGUGCAAGUCACAGGGGAUGCGAUGGCUUGGCUUGGGCUCAGAGACCUGACAGUUAUCAUCCUUGUGGCAUCUUCAAAUUCAGAGAAUUAUUCUGGAUUUUUGGACUUUUUUCUCCCUCAACGUGGAUUAAAUGUUGGACUUUUCUCACUCAACUUGGAUUGAAUGUUGACAUAGAGAUCUAACGCUGAUUCAAAGACACCAAGAGAGGGGGCGAAAUGGAAGGUGUGAAAUCACAGAAACCAAGGGAAUGAAGAACUGCAAAUAAAUAAGCCAUCACUUGAUAUCCUGCUACAUCUCCAGGAAUAAAAAGCUGGAAAUAAAUAAGCCAGCCAAGAAGAUUGAUACAUGACUGGAGCCUGAAUGGUAGAACUUUUUCAGAAGUGAGGAGUCUGUUGGCCCAGAAGAUCUGAGCAUUUUCAAAGAGACUCUAGAGUCUAAAACGAACAACCAAUCAAUUCUACAAACCUUGCAUCGUGAGGAGUUGCUGCACCUCUUCUCCAGGAUUUGCAAAACGUGUAGUCCAAAUCGAGUUUGGCUAGAACUGGUCUGUUAUCAAGAUAUGGCUCAUGAAAGAGAUUGGUGUUUAGGAGGCUGGGAAAAGGAAAUAUUUUGAGAGACUUCAUGUGCUCCGCACAUGGAGGUGGCUUCCUUUUGCCUCAGGUGAAGGGGGAGCUUCAACAAGAUCACUCAGAGAGUUUGAUCAAUGAUCUUAGAAUUUGCAGAACAUAGGGACUGUCAUUUGACUCACCCUUUAGAAGUCAGGAGGAAAGGUUACGUGGCUGGCACUUCUCAUGUCUGGGAAGGAACAACUGUGAAGUGCUGACCUAGACGAAUGUUGCACUUCCGCUGAUGAGUAGGCAAUGGCGAAUGUUUUCCAGGGUCCAAAUGUGGACCCGGCAACAGAGAGGCUGUCUGUAAUCACUUUAUAGAGACACUAACAACAAUGACUACUGGGACUAAAGAGAGCACAACGGAAGUAGUUCUGCCAGAAGGGCUGAGCAACCACCCUCAGGGGAGGCAGACCCACAUCAAAGACAUCUCAGCAGUCCCUUUCCCAUGAAAGAAAGAGCUAGAAAUUGUCCAUUUGACACACACACAAACCAGAUCCCAGAUUGCAAUUGAUUCAGAUAAUGAAAAGCUUGUUCUUUUCACUUGCUGUUCUAGCCUAACCAUGUAGGUGUCAGAAGCAGUUGUAGGCUAGGAGAGAAGUCGGAGCAAUACAGAAGCCAGUUCUGCCUUUGCCUCAAGAUCCACUGUCCACUCAGAGGCAGGCUGGCACAUGGGGGAUGAGAACAUUCCAAGAAAGAUGUGAAUUUGGAAUUUUCAUUUAUGCAGUAGAUGGGGAUUUACUACUGAAAGGAACAUGUUUUUGCAACUAAUAGUGACCAAAAGAAUUUGUACUAAAAAUCAUCUUAAAAGCAUGGGAUUACCCUAGCAUUUUGUUUCAGAAACUGAAAUUAACAGAAAACUAUAAAAUUACUUUCUGCCUGAAACCUAAGAAGGUGAACUCAUGCCAGAAACCAGUUAGUUACAUUCACAAUUACCUGGAUUUUAUAAUUUCCUACAAUGAAUAAAACUUAUUAUAAAGCAGAAAAGC